AGUGAACGCUGGCGGUAGGCCUAACACAUGCAAGUCGAACGGCAGCACAGUAAGAGCUUGCUCUUACGGGUGGCGAGUGGCGGACGGGUGAGGAAUACAUCGGAAUCUACUUUUUCGUGGGGGAUAACGUAGGGAAACUUACGCUAAUACCGCAUACGACCUACGGGUGAAAGCAGGGGAUCUUCGGACCUUGCGCGAUUGAAUGAGCCGAUGUCGGAUUAGCUAGUUGGCGGGGUAAAGGCCCACCAAGGCGACGAUCCGUAGCUGGUCUGAGAGGAUGAUCGGCCACACUGGAGCUGGGACACGGUCCAGAGUCCUACGGGAGGCAGCAGUGGGGAAUAUUGGACAAUGGGCGCAAGCCUGAUCCAGCCAUACCGCGUGGGUGAAGAAGGCCUUCGGGUUGUAAAGCCCUUUUGUUGGGAAAGAAAAGCAGCAGGUUAAUACCCCGCUGUUCUGACGGUACCCAAAGAAUAAGCACCGGCUAACUUCGUG
rnacentral:rRNA from 1 species